UUAUAUAUAUAAAUAAUAUAAUAUUUUACUAUGAAAUAAUCAAAUGUAAAGAAUUAUAUAUUUGAAAAUAUGUUUCUCUUAAAGAAAAAUUUGUCACUUCUUUUACAUACUUCAUUGAAGCAACUACAUACUUCAAAUAUAUUACAAAACGCUAUAAUAAUAGAUGGUAAAAACAUAGC